UUUGGGAGGUCGAAGCCGGUGAAUCACUUGAGCCCAGGAGUUUGAGACCAACCUGGGCAACAUAGUGAGACCUUGUCUCUACAAAAA
ensembl:miRNA